GCAAGAGCAUUCAGAAAGUGCAACAUUGCUACUUUGCUUGGCAAGCUGUCGAUGUCUGGUAGGAUGAAUUUCUGGGAGGAAAAGCACUGCUGAAGAAUUUUAUGCUGGAGAAAGUGAUGAUCCUACUAAGCUUUUUGGUGAUCAUUUGAAGAUGGGACUGAGCAUGCAGCUAUUUGAGUCCCAGAGCUCUACAGAUGUCCAGAUGGAAGACUAGAGUGCACAGCAAUCAGUGAGUAAUUGGGUGAAGAACCUGAAAGGAUCACAGAGGAAUUAAUUUAUGAGAACUGAUGGAGUGGAAAGCAUCUCAGCAGAGUCAGCUUGCGUUUGCUGAACUCAGGCUAACAUCACCGAUCGACUUUUUCCACAUACUGAACUGGGCUAAAAAGGAUGAGGUAAAAUUAAUCUGGACUGCAGCAAGAUGUUUUGAUCUAGUUGCAAUCAGAAGAGCCACUGAGAUA